rnacentral:rRNA from 1 species
CAGUCGCCGCGGUUAUACAGAGGGUGCGAGCGUUAAUCGGAUUUACUGGGCGUAAAGCGUGCGUAGGCGGCUUCUUAAGUCGGAUGUGAAAUCCCUGAGCUUAACUUAGGAAUUGCAUUCGAUACUGGGAAGCUAGAGUAUGGGAGAGGAUGGUAGAAUUCCAGGUGUAGCGGUGAAAUGCGUAGAGAUCUGGAGGAAUACCGAUGGCGAAGGCAGCCAUCUGGCCUAAUACUGACGCUGAGGUACGAAAGCAUGGGGAGCAAACAGGAUUAGAUACCCCGGUAGUCCCUGUCUCUUAUAC